GUCUUUUUGAUUAUAAUUUAAAGUCUGACCUGCCCAAUGAAUUUUAAAUGGCCGCGGUAUUUUGACCGUGCAAAGGUAGCAUAAUCAUUAGUUUUUUAAUUAAAAGCUGGAAUGAAUGGUUGGACGAGAAAAUUACUGUCUCAAUUUAAUUUAAUUAGAAUUUUAUUUUUAAGUUAAAAAGCUUAAAUAUAUUUAAAAGACGAGAAGACCCUAUAGAGUUUAAUAUUAUGAUUAUUUUUAAUUUUUAUAAUUUAAAAAAUUUUUAUAAUAUUUUAUUGGGGUGAUAAAUAAAUUUAUAAAACUUUAUUUUUUUUUUACAUAAAUUAAUGAUUUUAUGAUCCAUUUUUAAUGAUUAAAAGAUUAAAUUACCUUAGGGAUAACAGCGUAAUUUUUUUAGAGAGUUCAAAUCGAAAAAAAAGAUUGCGACCUCGAUGUUGGAUUAAAGUAAAUUUUUGGUGUAGAAGCUAAAAUAUUAAGUCUGUUCGACUUUUAAAACUUUACAUGAUCUGAGUUUAAACCGGCGUGAGCCAGGUUGGUUUCUAUCUUUAAAAUAAUAAAAUAUUUUAGUACGAAAGGACCAAAUAUUUAUAAUAAUUAUUUAAUUUUGAAUAU
rnacentral:rRNA from 1 species